GGAGAGAUGCCGGAGUGGUCGAACGGGGCGGUCUCGAAAACCGUUGAACCCAUUUGGGUUCCGGGGGUUCGAAUCCCUCUCUCUCCGCCA
rnacentral:tRNA from 1 species